GACGUAGGGGGCCAGCGUUGUUCGGAAUUACUGGGUGUAAAGGGUUCGUAGGCGGUGCGGCAAGUUGGGGAGUGAAAUCUCUGGGCUUAACCCAGAGGUUGCUUCCAAAACUGCUGUGCUUGAGUGUGGGAGAGGCGCGUGGAAUUGCAGGUGUAGCGGUGAAAUGCGUAGAUAUCUGCAGGAACACCCGUGGCGAAAGCGGCGCGCUGGACCACUACUGACGCUGAGGAACGAAAGCUAGGGGAGCAAACAGG
rnacentral:rRNA from 1 species